rnacentral:lncRNA from 1 species
UACUACCAAUGGCCAGUGGCUUAGAGGACGUUCAAAGAUACCUGACAACAGGCUCAGAGGACUCAUCCAAACCCUGACACACAGAAACUCACAGACCACAAUAUGAGUUAAAGUAGGAAAUACUGCACACUGAGCAGCAACAUGCAAUGUCAUCCGGAUGGCAGGGAUUAACUAUAUCACAGAGACAAGGAAGGAGCCAGAUUAAAAAACCAGCUGUCUAGGAAGUAAUCUUCAGAAGAAGCUGUUAAAACAGAACACUUUCUGCCAUCCGCCAGAGCUGGCCUGUCAGCUCUGUGUUGGAUUUAAAACAGUGGUGACCAACUCUUGGAGUCAAGUCAUCUUGCCAGGUUAGACACAGAUAUCACUGUCAUGUCUGGCUCAGUGUUCGUUCUCAAUAUGGCUUCAGGCUGUGAAGAUGAGAAAGGAAACUAGCAGCCUUUCCAGAUGUGAGAAGAGCCUUGCCACGAGAUGCUUGGAGGAAUGAAGGACCAGUGUGCAGAGCACCCAGAUGCUGCCCUGGCCCCGUUGGUACUCAUCAUGUAAUCUUAGGAUCAACUUCUUGCUCAUUUUCUCAGAAGCACUCUUGAAUCCAAAGAACAAUAUCAGUUAUUAUCAAUAAUCAUCUGCAUCAGAGCAGAACGAAUACGUUUCUAUCAGGGAAGAGAAAACCACCCAUCCCAUCAUUAAGCUCAACAUCAUUUUAUUGUAUUCAUUAUUAUUUAUUAUUGGCAGGUGGGCUGUGAAUGACACAGUGCAGAUGCUGGGGCCAGAAGUCCUCUCCAUGUAGUUGGUUCUCUUCUCCCACCUCUAUGUGGGUUCUAGGGGUCAAAAUCAGGUUGCCAGGUUUGCCCCGCAAACACCUUCAACUGCUAAGCCAUCUUGCUGGUCCAAAGGUUGGCAUCAUUGAAGCCUACAGUUUUUUAAUGGUCCUCCAUAAAAGAAGUGACCAAAGUUCCCAUUUUCUGCCAUAAAGCCUCCACUUCCUUAGAGGCCAGUGGCCAAGACAAGUGAAAAAUGAUCCUGACUGUGAUUAUUCUGAUUCUGGUUAUUGGUAAAGUGGCCACGCUCCGUGUUUUGGCAAUAUUAGCUCACAUAAGCAUGGGCCUUUGUUUGGCAUGUACAGAAGCAUGUUUCUAGGGCGAAACAUGGGCUCUGACUUCUAAAUCAACAGACAAGAAAGUGUAUGAAGUAAAACUUUAAAAGCUGGGUGGUGUCUAAGAUUAUAAGACCAUUAAACAAUAGUGGUAAGCACAGAGACACAGCAAAGAAGUAUGGAAACUUGGCUCAAAGGUGACCUCAUGAAGCCUGCCUUAUGUGGAGACGUCCUUCCAAUUUGGUCUUGAAGUGAACAAAAAAUAAAGCUUGAUUUAAUCUGGCC